rnacentral:rRNA from 1 species
GACGAACGCUGGCGGCGUGCCUAAUACAUGCAAGUCGAGCGAAGUUUUUCCGGUGCUUGCACUAGAAAAACUUAGCGGCGAACGGGUGAGUAACACGUAAAGAACCUGCCUCAUAGACUGGGACAACUAUUGGAAACGAUAGCUAAUACCGGAUAACAGCAUUAACUGCAUGGUUGAUGUUUAAAAGUUGGUUUUGCUAACACUAUGAGAUGGCUUUGCGGUGCAUUAGCUAGUUGGUGGGGUAAAGGCCUACCAAGGCGACGAUGCAUAGCCGACCUGAGAGGGUGAUCGGCCACACUGGGACUGAGACACGGCCCAGACUCCUACGGGAGGCAGCAGUAGGGAAUCUUCCGCAAAGGGCGAAAGCCUGACGGAGCAACGCCGCGUGAGUGAAGAAGGAUUUCGGUUCGUAAAGCUCUGUUGUUAGGGAAGAAUGAUUGUGUAGUAACUAUACACAGUAGAGACGGUACCUAACCAGAAAGCCACGGCUAACUACGUG